AGAGUUUGAUCCUGGCUCAGGAUGAACGCUGACAGAAUGCUUAACACAUGCAAGUCAACUUGAACUUCGGUUUGGGUGGCGGACGGGUGAGUAACGCGUAAAGAACUUGCCUCACAGCUAGGGACAACAUUUGGAAACGAAUGCUAAUACCUGAUAUUAUGAUUUUAGGGCAUCCUAGGAUUAUGAAAGCUAUAUGCACUGUGAGAGAGCUUUGCGUCCCAUUAGCUAGUUGGAGAGGUAACGGCUCACCAAGGCGAUGAUGGGUAGCCGGCCUGAGAGGGUGAUCGGCCACAAGGGGACUGAGACACGGCCCUUACUCCUACGGGAGGCAGCAGUGGGGAAUAUUGGACAAUGGACCAAGAGUCUGAUCCAGCAAUUCUGUGUGCACGAUGAAGUUUUUCGGAAUGUAAAGUGCUUUCAGUUGGGAAGAAAAAAAUGACGGUACCAACAGAAGAAGUGACGGCUAAAUACGUGCCAGCAGCCGCGGUAAUACGUAUGUCACAAGCGUUAUCCGGAUUUAUUGGGCGUAAAGCGCGUCUAGGUGGUUAUGUAAGUCUGAUGUGAAAAUGCAGGGCUCAACUCUGUAUUGCGUUGGAAACUGUAUAACUAGAGUACUGGAGAGGUAAGCGGAACUACAAGUGUAGAGGUGAAAUUCGUAGAUAUUUGUAGGAAUGCCGAUGGGGAAGCCAGCUUACUGGACAGAUACUGACGCUGAAGCGCGAAAGCGUGGGUAGCAAACAGGAUUAGAUACCCUGGUAGUCCACGCCGUAAACGAUGAUUACUAGGUGUUGGGGGUCGAACCUCAGCGCCCAAGCAAACGCGAUAAGUAAUCCGCCUGGGGAGUACGUACGCAAGUAUGAAACUCAAAGGAAUUGACGGGGACCCGCACAAGCGGUGGAGCAUGUGGUUUA
rnacentral:rRNA from 1 species